AUUGGAGCCGCUGCAAGUCAGAUCUUGGUGGAUGCAGCGCAACACAGAUCGCAACCCUCCAAGGACUGAGAAGUGGAAUGUUGACAUCUCUGAGACAGUCUGAAAGCAAACCGAAGGCAGGGGUGUUCAUCAACUCCUGCUUCGCGCAUUGCCAGAGUGAGCUGCAGGACACAUGGUUCGCACCAAAUUCUCCAUCCAUAGAUAACAAGAAAAUUGCAGAGGUGGUAGGUGAUUGGUACUUUGAAAGAGGAGCUGCCGUGGAGAUUGACUGCGCCUAUCCCUGUGAUUCAUAGUCUUGUCGCAACCUUA